GCCUUUUUCCUCUCUGCAAGAAGAAACCUGACACAUUGGGACCUCAAUCACCAAAACACCAUGAAUGUUUCCAGGAGGAUACAUUCUCUCCGUGCUCACAGACAGAAAACCAGUGGGAACAAAAAUGAGAACUGGCACAGCACCUCUGGGUUCAAGCACCAGCAUGGCGAUGAUCUUGCUACAGUCCAUACCCUUUACACAGUGAUUGUCAUGAUCCUUCUAAUAGCAAUUUGGGGAGCCUGGUCAAGAAAGGAUUCAUCCUUAUAGCAGCAGUAUGCUUUCUUUGUCAAAUAUUUAAAGGAAUGUUUGUGUCAAUUAUUCAUAUCCAGGAGGUAAAAAAAAAAAAGGUCUCAGCAUACUACAGUUUACUUGAAACUGCUUAAACUGUUGCUACUUGUGGAACUGAAUCUGUGAAGCAAUUUAAUAGUCAAUGUGCAGAACAUGACUUCGUGAAUAACAUAUACCUGUUUGCAUUGUACAUGUUUAUAUUACCCUUUGCACGUAUAUGAAACUUACUUUAAGCACAAUAUGCUAGCAAGAAGAGUUCAGCA